UACGUAGGGUGCUAGCGUUAUUCGGAUUUAUUGGGCGUAAAGCGCAUGUAGGCGGUUCGGUAAGUCUGGUGUGAAAGCCCUCGACUCAAUCGAGGAAGUGCAUUGGAUACUGUCGAACUGGAGUGCAGGAGGGGUGAGCGGAAUUCCAGGUGUAGAGGUGAAAUUCGUAGAUAUCUGGAGGAACAACAGCGGCGAAGGCGGCUCACUGGACUGUAACUGACGCUCAGAUGCGAUAGUGUGGGGAGCAAAC
rnacentral:rRNA from 1 species